CUGCUGGCAACUACGAGGAUGCCACCAUCAAAUUUGCGAUUAGAUAUUCGCAAUAUUUGAUGAGAUAUUUCAGAUAAUGUUUUGACCCAAUCUAGCCCCAGGCUCUUUUACAGGCGUAAUCAACGUGGCUACCAAAGUGCUCAGCAAUAUUAGCAACAGCGUGGGACCAACUCAUGCUAUCAAGGAAGGAAAUAUCCGUCUCUGACACGAAGGUUUUCCGCCUCCGUUUUGUCUUCUUCCCCCAUUCUCAUCCUCUGCCCACCAUCAAGUGUGGGUGUAGCCAUACUUUCAGCCGUAGUUUAGUACACAUCCAGACAGCAGCCCUAGGUCUUGGUACCAAUCCCCCAGCGGGAGUUAUGGCAGUCCAACAACACCGUUCAGCAAUCACCGACGCCCACCGAGCCGCGCUUCUCACACUCGUCCACGGUGAGUGUCGGCCGACUUACAACUGGAUUUCCGUAUGUGAGCCGGAAUAAUCGAGCAGAAAAUGACUGUGAUUUGCUAUAAUUGAUUCCAAUAAUUUUGCAAUCUAUCGAACGUCGUCGGACGGGAGCAACCGAGACGGCCAGACUGCACGGUUGUUGAAGUCUGCUGGCUGGAUGGUUUCGGGUGGUGUUUUUCCAGAUUUUCCUUUGGGAGCUGCGAUCCGUUUCCGCCGAGUUGCUGCAACCAUUGGCGAUGGUUGGUGCCUUUGGCGAAAGUCUAGGAUAGGAUUAUACACAUUUUUUUGCUAGCGAGCAGAAGGUGCUAUUGCACUUUACUGCUAAAUCGGGUUUUCGCGCAAUGCAUUAAAUUAACACCCAUAAUUCAAAUGGAUUUGCCAGCGAUGGAGGGUGCAAUUAGGCUGGAGUAAUGGAUGGUAUUUGCUCGCUGUGGAAGGCAUUUUUCUGCACAAUUUGAAAACGGUGUUUGCAAAUAUCGUACUGAAUGUUAAUCCAGCCGGCAAUCAUUCCAAUGUUGGGCUAUAAAUUGGGUUAGUUGCAAUGUUGUGGCUGAAGAGAAUGCAGAAUCUGACUCAAUGGUACAGAUUAAUCAGGAAAUCAUUAGGCAGACCAUGUUAAAACCACUACCUAAUUGGGAAAUCAUUUGUACACUUGGAGUGAUACUAGUUAGUGAUUAUUUAAUCACGCUUAAUCGUAGAAAAGAAGCUUGUGCCGAAGUUUAUAAAGUUGUUUUUCCAUUUCAAAUAUUCUAUAACAACGUUUGUAACAUUUUAAAACAAGUUGCAUGAUAAAAAUAAUUGUCUUCUUGCAAUGCAAAGUUGUGCCUAUACCUUCUGAGACAAGUAUUUGGCCCUUUAACAAAUUCUAGCAUAGUCAAAUUGUCGAGAUCGCAUUUAUCAUUUAAUUUCGAAACAAACAGCUCUCACAUCGCUCGCUUGUUGCUUUUCACGCCAAAACUGAAAACCAAACUGUACACGGCUCCUAUUGUUUACGAAAUUAAUUACAGUUCAAAAGUACAAUCAUAAAUAUAAACCAACCACCCGUCAACGGUUGUUGGCAUUGCAGAAUGGCCCGUCCAAUUUGAUGUUGCACUGACUUUGAGCUGCCCUUUCUGUGAUCUAUCUAGUUGCAUAACCACAAUCCGGAAAAGUCUUGAGACACAAACCGCAUGCCUUUUUUUCGCUGGCCAGUUCCAGAUGCCCCAGCAGAGAGCCGCCAUAAUGUUGGCAAUACACAGAGAAAUAUAAUCCGUUUUAAUUUUUCCGCUCGUUUCAUCAUUUCAGUUCUGACCGACGAUUAUUAUUAUUCUUGUUGUACACACACCGGAAGGGUUAUCCUAUUCGCAGAAUGGUUUGUUUGUUCAUUUGCUGUACGAUAUAGAAAUUGUUUCAUGAAUUCUAUUUUUUGCGUCCGAUUUGUUCUUGAAUUACUUUAUUAUGCUGCCUAUAUUCACAUAACAGACUUAUCUUGGUUGUGUUUCCCAUGAGACUAU